UACAGAGGUCCCGAGCGUUGUUCGGAUUCACUGGGCGUAAAGGGUGCGUAGGUGGUGAGGUAAGUCGGAUGUGAAAUCUCCAGGCUCAACCUGGAAACUGCAUUGGAAACUACCUUGCUAGAGGUUUUGAGGGGGGACUGGAAUUCUCGGUGUAGCAGUGAAAUGCGUAGAUAUCGAGAGGAACACCAGUGGCGAAGGCGAGUCCCUGGAAAACACCUGACACUGAGGCACGAAAGCUAGGGGAGCAAACAGG
rnacentral:rRNA from 1 species